rnacentral:lncRNA from 1 species
GUGAAAAAUGAGUGGGUGUGAGAUCGGAGGUGCUGGAUAGGUAUUUUAAUUAGAGAGUAGGAAUUAUUUGUGUAUUUGAUCAUGGCUCUUAUAGAGAUCACUUUUCCCAAUAAAAGAAUUCUUGGUCGUGAAAGUAUAACCAUUCAGAUUAGUUUUGUAUUCCUUAUAAGCCUAUUGUAUUUUCUAACAAUCUAACAUGAUAAAAUUAAAGUCAUUUAA